rnacentral:rRNA from 1 species
UACGUAGGGGGCUAGCGUUGUCCGGAAUCAUUGGGCGUAAAGAGCGCGUAGGCGGCCAGAUAAGUCCGGUGUGAAAGUCACAGGCUCAACCUGUGAAUGCCGCUGGAAACUGUCUGGCUAGAGUCCGGGAGGGGCGAGUGGAAUUCCUGGUGUAGCGGUGAAAUGCGCAGAUAUCAGGAGGAACACCGGUGGCGAAGGCGGAUCUCUGGGCCAUUACUGACGCUGAGGAGCGAAAGCGUGGGGAGCGAACAGG